rnacentral:lncRNA from 1 species
AUGGUGCCAGCAAGGGAGCCGUGCCCCGUCCCACCGAGCCACCCUCUUUCCUCCGCACCCUGCUUCCAGAAUAAGCUAUUCACCCCCGUUUUUAUUUUCUUUUUUUUUCUUUUUUUCUUUUUUUUUUUUUUAAUUAUUGUUGGUUUUAAACUGCUAGCUGUGCUUCUCUACAGGGCAUGGAGAAAUGUCUUCCUUUCCUCCUGCGUUCUGGCUGGUGGCUCCCCGGGGGUAAGGUCAGAGCCGGGGGGGAUGCACAGGCGUCUGGGGCCACGUUCUUGUGCCGGUCAGGUGUUGCACCCAUUUUCGGAGGGGCUGCUCACCAGCGGUUUUGCCCUCGUGGAGGUGCAAGAGGGGAUGAGGUCUCCAGGACAGCUGGAGCAACAACAAAAUGUCCCUCUGGGAAUAGCAGGGUGCUCUCUGGAAAGCAAAGGACCCCCCAACACCUUAAAGAGCGUUGGGACCCGCUGCAGGGCGGUGCGACCUGGCGUGGCUUCGGGCUGGUCCCGAGGCUGCUGUGGCAGGAGGGUCUGGGGGUGCGCAGGGUGCCGAGUGCCCCGGGGAUGCCGGCGGGUGAGCGACCGGGCUGGUGGCGGCACCCAUGGGCCACGGCGCUGGGGAGAAGCCUGGGGAGGGCUUGGGAUGUGGGGCUGGAGGGUUUGGGGUCAGGACAGCAGCGCCUUGGGCAGCGCGGGGUCCAACAGGCGGCUGGGGAGAGCUGGGCGUGCGUGUUCACGCGCGUGCGUCCACGUUCGUGCGUGUUCGUGCAUCUGCAUGCGUGGCGUUUGCCCUCUCCUCGGAGCUCGCUUUGGGGAAGGGAGGGGAUGCACGCGGGGGAAGGACUUGGGAUGCUCAAUCGGGAUGAGGCCCUUGGCUGGUUUUUGCCGCGCAGGGCUGGAUCCGUCCAGGCGAGCGAGCGGUGCCCGUGCUUGGGAGUCGGGCUGGUCUCCAGCUCCUCCAAACACCCCCUGCACCGAGCCAGAGCAGAAAACCUGUUCCCCACCAUGGGCACGGCCACGGGUCGUGCCACCCAGCUGCACCCGCUGCCUUGCCCAUGUCCCACGGGGAGGGAGGGUGCCUCCUUCAUUAGCAAUCUUCUUUCCCUUCCAAUUCGAUGCUUUGAGCUUUAUAUUUUGA